AAAGAAAUUUCAAGGGAUAAAGCACCAUGGAUCUAACUUAUAUUCCCGAAGACCUAUCCAGUUGUCCAAAAUUUGUAAAUAAAUCCUGUCCUCCCACCAACCGCUCUUUUCAUGUCCAGGUGAUAAUGUAUUCGGUUAUGACUGGAGCCAUGAUUAUCACUAUUCGGAAACUUGGUUAUAAUGGUUUCCAUAUCGCAUUUCAAACAGCUUCACUCUCCCACAAACUUUCUGAUCCUCUCCAUGGCAACCACGGACUUUCUGCUGGGUUUUGUCAUUAUGCCAUACAGCAUAAUGCGAUCAGUGGAGAGUUGCUGGUACUUUGGGGAUGGCUUUUGUAAAUUCCACACAAGCUUUGACAUGAUGCUCAGACUGACCUCCAUUUUCCACCUCUGUUCCAUUGCUAUUGACCGAUUUUAUGCCGUGUGUUACCCUUUACAUUACACAACCAAAAUGACGAACUCCACCAUAAAGCAACUGCUGGCAUUUUGCUGGUCAGUUCCUGCUCUUUUUUCUUUUGGUUUAGUUCUAUCUGAGGCCGAUGUUUCCGGUAUGCAGAGCUAUAAGAUACUUGUUGCUUGCUUCAAUUUCUGUGCCCUUACUUUCAACAAAUUCUGGGGGACAAUAUUGUUCACUACAUGUUUCUUUACCCCUGGCUCCAUCAUGGUUGGUAUUUAUGGCAAAAUCUUUAUCGUUUCCAAACAGCAUGCUCGAGUCAUCAGCCAUGUGCCUGAAAACACAAAGGGGGCAGUGAAAAAACACCUAUCCAAGAAAAAGGACAGGAAAGCAGCGAAGACACUGGGUAUAGUAAUGGGGGUGUUUCUGGCUUGCUGGUUGCCUUGUUUUCUUGCUGUUCUGAUUGACCCAUACCUAGACUACUCCACUCCCAUACUAAUAUUGGAUCUUUUAGUGUGGCUCCGGUACUUCAACUCUACUUGCAACCCUCUUAUUCAUGGCUUUUUUAAUCCAUGGUUUCAGAAAGCAUUCAAGUACAUAGUGUCAGGAAAAAUAUUUAGCUCCCAUUCAGAAACUGCAAAUUUGUUUCCUGAAGCACAUUAAUAAAAAGCUGUUGCAAAAGUGA